rnacentral:rRNA from 1 species
GACGGAGGGUGCUAGCGUUGUUCGGAAUUACUGGGCGUAAAGGGCGCGUAGGCGGCCUGGUCAGUCGGAUGUGAAAGCCCGGGGCUCAACCCCGGAACGGCAUCCGAGACGGCCAGGCUGGAGACCGGGAGAGGAGAGUGGAAUAGCCAGUGUAGAGGUGAAAUUCGUAGAUAUUGGCUGGAACACCGGUGGCGAAAGCGGCUCUCUGGCCCGGUUCUGACGCUGAGGCGCGAAAGCGUGGGGAGCAAACAGG